UUGCAAUAGAUCAGUCGGUAGUACAUGAGACUCUUAAUCUCAGGGUCAUGGAUUCGAGCCCCACAGGCAAAA